rnacentral:rRNA from 1 species
GGUUAAGCGACUAAGCGUACACGGUGGAUGCCUAGGCAAUCAGAGGCGAUGAAGGACGUGCUAAUCUGCGAAAAGCGUCGGUAAGGUGAUAUGAACCGUUAUAGCCGACGAUGUCCGAAUGGGGAAACCCAGUGCAAUUCGUUGCACUAUCGUUUGAUGAAUCCAUAGUCAAACGAGGCGAACCGGGGGAACUGAAACAUCUCAGUACCCCGAGGAAAAGAAAUCAACCGAGAUUCCCCUAGUAGCGGCGAGCGAACGGGGAGCAGCCCAGAGUCUUAAUCAGCAUCAGCAUCAGGAGAACGGUCUGGAAAGGCCGGCAAUAAAGGGUGAUAGCCCCGUAUCCGAAGGUGUUGGUGUUGUGAACUCGACGAGUAGGGCGGGACACGUGUUAUCCUGUCUGAAUAUGGGGGGACCAUCCUCCAAGGCUAAAUACUCCUGAUUGACCGAUAGUGAACCAGUACCGUGAGGGAAAGGCGAAAAGAACCCCGGCGAGGGGAGUGAAAUAGAACCUGAAACCGUGUACGUACAAGCAGUGGGAGCCUUGAUUUAUCAGGGUGACUGCGUACCUUUUGUAUAAUGGGUCAGCGACUUAUAUUCUGUAGCAAGGUUAACCGAAUAGGGGAGCCGUAGGGAAACCGAGUCUUAACUGGGCGAAUGAGUUGCAGGGUAUAGACCCGAA